rnacentral:rRNA from 1 species
GCUGGAAUCGCUAGUAAUCGCGGAUCAGAAUGCCGCGGUGAAUACGUUCCCGGGUCUUGUACACACCGCCCGUCACACCAUGGGAGUCGGGAAUGCCCGAAGUCAGUGACCCAACCGCAAGGAGGGAGCUGCCGAAGGCAGGCUCGAUAACUGGGGUGAAGUCGUAACAAGGUAGC